UCUGUUCCUAAAGUUGUUGCAGGUGUGGCUGCUGUGUCACACAUCUGUCAGGAGGUGGCAGAGAGGGAGAAGCUAUGCCUUCUCUCAGUGUUCUGACCUGUGACCAUCUGAAUAGUUGGUAGCCUGACACU